rnacentral:rRNA from 1 species
UGGGGAAUAUUGGACAAUGGGGGCAACCCUGAUCCAGCAAUGCCGCGUGUGUGAAGAAGGUCUUCGGAUCGUAAAGCACUUUCGGCGGGGACGAUGAUGACGGUACCCGCAGAAGAAGCCCCGGCUAACUUCGUGCCAGCAGCCGCGGUAAUACGAAGGGGGCUAGCGUUGCUCGGAAUUACUGGGCGUAAAGGGCGCGUAGGCGGCUUGGCCAGUCAGGCGUGAAAUUCCUGGGCUUAACCUGGGGACUGCGCUUGAUACUGCCAGGCUUGAGGCCGAGAGAGGGUGGUGGAAUUCCCAGUGUAGAGGUGAAAUUCGUAGAUAUUGGGAAGAACACCGGUGGCGAAGGCGACCACCUGGCUCGGUACUGACGCUGAGGCGCGACAGCGUGGGGAGCAAACAGG